UACGGAGGGGGCGAGCGUUAUUCGGAAUUAUUGGGCGUAAAGGGCGCGUAGGCGGCCCGGUAAGUCAAAGGUGAAAUCCCUCGGCUCAACUGAGGAACUGCCUUUGAAACUGUCGGGCUUGAGGCCGGGAGGGGGUAGCGGAAUUCCCAGUGUAGCGGUGAAAUGCGUAGAUAUUGGGAAGAACACCGGUGGCGAAAGCGCCUUGCUGGGUCUGCACUGACACUGAGGGACGAAAGCUAGGGGAGCGAAAGGG
rnacentral:rRNA from 1 species